AGAGUUUGAUCCUGGCUCNNANCGAACGCUGGCGGCAGGCUUAACACAUGCAAGUCGAACGCCCCGCAAGGGGAGUGGCAGACGGGUGAGUAACGCGUGGGAAUCUACCCAUCUCUACGGAAUAACUCAGGGAAACUUGUGCUAAUACCGUAUACGCCCUUCGGGGGAAAGAUUUAUCGGAGAUGGAUGAGCCCGCGUUGGAUUAGCUAGUUGGUGGGGUAAAGGCCUACCAAGGCGACGAUCCAUAGCUGGUCUGAGAGGAUGAUCAGCCACAUUGGGACUGAGACACGGCCCAAACUCCUACGGGAGGCAGCAGUGGGGAAUAUUGGACAAUGGGCGCAAGCCUGAUCCAGCCAUGCCGCGUGAGUGAUGAAGGCCUUAGGGUUGUAAAGCUCUUUCAGUGGGGACGAUAAUGACGGUACCCACAGAAGAAGCCCCGGCUAACUUCGUGCCAGCAGCCGCGGUAAUAC
rnacentral:rRNA from 1 species